rnacentral:rRNA from 1 species
AUGAACGCUGGCGGCGUGCCUCAUCCAUUCCAGUCGCGCGAACAGACGAGGAGCUUGCUCCUCUGACGUUAGCGGCGGACGGGUGAGUAACACGUGGAUAACCUACCUAUAAGACUGGGAUAACUUCGGGAAACCGGAGCUAAUACCGGAUAAUAUAUUGAACCGCAUGGUUCCAUAGUGAAAGACGGUUUUGCUGUCACUUAUAGAUGGAUCCGCGCCGCAUUAGCUAGUUGGUAAGGUAACGGCUUACCAAGGCAACGAUGCGUAGCCGACCUGAGAGGGUGAUCGGCCACACUGGAACUGAGACACGGUCCAGACUCCUACGGGAGGCAGCAGUAGGGAAUCUUCCGCAAUGGGCGAAAGCCUGACGGAGCAACGCCGCGUGAGUGAUGAAGGUCUUCGGAUCGUAAAACUCUGUUAUUAGGGAAGAACAAAUGUGUAAGUAACUAUGCACGUCUUGACGGUACCUAAUCAGAAAGCCACGGCUAACCACGUG